GAUGAACGCUGGCGGCGUGCCUAAUACAUGCAAGUCGAGCGAACGGACGAGAAGCUUGCUUCUCUGAUGUUAGCGGCGGACGGGUGAGUAACACGUGGAUAACCUACCUAUAAGACUGGGCUAACUUCGGGAAACCGGAGCUAAUACCGGCUAAUAUUUUGAACCGCAUGGUUCUAAAGUGACAGACGGUCUUGCUGUCACUUAUAGCUGGAUCCGCGCUGCAUUAGCUAGUUGGUAAGGUAACGGCUUACCAAGGCAACGAUACAUAGCCGACCUGAGAGGGUGAUCGGCCACACUGGAACUGAGACACGGUCCAGACUCCUACGGGAGGCAGCAGUAGGGAAUCUUCCGCAAUGGGCGAAAGCCUGACGGAGCAACGCCGCGUGAGUGAUGAAGGUCUUCGGAUCGUAAAACUCUGUUAUUAGGGAAGAACAUAUGUGUAAGUAACUGUGCACAUCUUGACGGUACCUAAUCAGAAAGCCACGGCUAACUACGUG
rnacentral:rRNA from 1 species